rnacentral:ncRNA from 2 species
AUGGGGUGCUAGGGGUCCGCUUUACAAGGUGGUGAGAAAAACCCUUUGAACCUGAUGCGGGUAAUGCCGCCGUAGGGAAUGCAGUCCUCUAAAAGA